GAUGAACGCUAGCGGCAGGCCUAACACAUGCAAGUCGAGGGGCAGCAUAAGGAGUACUUCGGUACUUUUGAUGGCGACCGGCGGACGGGUGCGUAACGCGUAUACAACCUACCUUUUACAGGGGGAUAACGUUUGGAAACGAACACUAAUACCCCAUAACAUCAUACAGGGCAUCCUGUGUGGUUGAAAACUCCGGUGGUAAGAGAUGGGUAUGCGUUGUAUUAGAUAGUUGGUGAGGUAACGGCUCACCAAGUCGACGAUACAUAGGGGGACUGAGAGGUUAGCCCCCCACACUGGUACUGAGACACGGACCAGACUCCUACGGGAGGCAGCAGUGAGGAAUAUUGGUCAAUGGGCGCAAGCCUGAACCAGCCAUGCCGCGUGCAGGAAGACGGCUCUAUGAGUUGUAAACUGCUUUUACACAGGGAUAAUUCAUGAUACGAGUAUCAUGUUGAAGGUACUGUGGGAAUAAGGAUCGGCUAACUCCGUGCCAGCAGCCGCGGUAAUACGGAGGAUCCAAGCGUUAUCCGGAUUUAUUGGGUUUAAAGGGUGCGCAGACGGCGCAGUAAGUUAUAGGUGAAAUAUCGGUGCUUAACAUCGAAACUGCCUGUGAUACUGCUGUGCUCGAGACCAGUUGCGGAAGGCGGAAUGUGUGGUGUAGCGGUGAAAUGCUUAGAUAUCACACAGAACCCCGAUUGCGAAGGCAGCUUUCCAAGCUGGAUCUGACGUUGAGGCACGAAAGCGUGGGUAGCGAACAGGAUUAGAUACCCUGGUAGUCCACGCUGUAAACGAUGAUUACUCGUUGUCGGCGAUAUACAGUCGGUGACUAAGCGAAAGCGAUAAGUAAUCCACCUGGGGAGUACGUUCGCAAGAAUGAAACUCAAAGGAAUUGACGG
rnacentral:rRNA from 1 species